GAGGGUAGGCCCCUCGGAGUCUGCUGACAGAAGCUGGUUUCAAACCGCCUCAAGCUGCGAUGGUAAAGAGGCAUCGUGGUGAACGUUGGAGGAAAGCAUGAGAACUCAUGCCAGGU
rfam:Leptonema illini DSM 21528 genomic scaffold Lepilscaffold_1, whole genome shotgun sequence.